rnacentral:rRNA from 1 species
GAUGAACGCUGGCGGCGUGCUUAACACAUGCAAGUCGAACGAUGAAGCCCAGCUUGCUGGGUGGAUUAGUGGCGAACGGGUGAGUAACACGUGAGUAACCUGCCCUUGACUCUGGGAUAAGCGCUGGAAACGGCGUCUAAUACCGGAUACGAGCUUCCACCGCACGGUGAGUUGCUGGAAAGAAUUUCGGUCAAGGAUGGACUCGCGGCCUAUCCGGUAGUUGGUGAGGUAACGGCUCACCAAGCCGACGACGGGUAGCCGGCCUGAGAGGGUGACCGGCGACCCUGGGACUGAGACACGGCCCAGACUCGUACGGGAGGCAGCAGUGGGGAAUAUUGCACAAUGAGCGCAAGCCAGAUGCAGCAACGCCGCGUGAGGAACGAAGGCCUUCGGGUCGUAAACCUCUUUUAGCAGGGAAGAAGCGAACGUGACGGUACCUGCAGAAAAAGCACCGGCUAACUACGUG